AGGAUAAUAGUUAAAUUAACAUUUAAUUUGCAAUUAAAAAAUAUUGGAAUAAACAAUUUAUCUUA
rnacentral:tRNA from 1 species